AGGUAUGCUGCAAUAAUACCAUAGAUUAACUCAGUAUGCAGUGAUGUUUGCUAGUUUUUUUUCCCUCCAGAUCAGAAAUGUUAAAACUGUGUUGGUGGAAUCUGUGAGCUCUACAGAGAUGUCACAUCAGGAGCUUGGAAAACAUUAGAUGUUCAACUCCUUCUGCCUCUCUCCAGGAAAAAGCAAGAGACAAGUCUGCAUACAAAAUUCAUGUCAUCCAGGAGCCUUCAAAGUGUGCAGUUUGACGGUCUUUGCAAAAAGCAGGUAUUCCUGGAGUGAAUGUUUGAAUUAUCUCUGGGUAUGUGUUAAAUUCUGGAAGAAAUCAUUCUCAUCCAAAUGGGAUUUGUCAGACAAUGGCAACAAUUUCAAAGGUAGAUUAUCGUUUCUUCUUUCAUUGUAAAAAUUGAGUCAAUUCCUUAACAAGCAAGAUUGUAAUAGAGCACUUGUUUCCCACACCCAUCUCAAGUAAAUACAAAUCUAUUUCAUGGAUGAAUUUACUUCACAGCAGUCCCUAAAAAUCUUCCUUCAUUCUCUGGAAUGUUUUUAAUUUCCUAAUUUAUGACACACUAAAAAUCCUGUUUACUUUGUACUGGGGGAACAAUUUCAUCUGUUCAGACACUUAACACCAUUAAUUAAGCAAUAAUGCAUAUAGCCAUGAACAUUAGAAUCAAAUAAACACAACUUCCUGUUUUAAUUAUCUGACAAGAAGAGUAUUUUGCAGGCAAAAUAUAAAACUACUUGUCAAUUGGCUUCAUUGUUGUUACCAAUUAGGCCUAGUGAUAGAAUUAAACAUAGACAUCACAUAUAGCACCCAAAAUCAAACAAAACAGUGAGAACACUUAGGGUAUGCUGUGAUUGGAAAGAUACCCACUUGAAUCAAAGGGAUUUAUUUUAAAAUUAUUUGUUACUAACAGAGACUACAUUUCUGUGCUGGUGGGAUUGCAUGCUCCUGUGAGACAAGAGAUCAUGCUAACAGUUGUUUCCCAAGUAAGCUUUUGCUGAGAAGCCACACUAAACACCUACUGAGUAAUAGCAGUUGUAGGGAGCGUGACAUUGGCAGAGGAUCUCUCAGAGACAACAGAACUGACACCAUAGCUAGAAUGAAUUAGUACUUCGUAAAAGGAGACAGAGUAACAACUUUUAUUAAGAAAAUCCUAUGAUGGGAGAAUCCAAAAUGAUAUACAAGAAAGAGAUUCAGGUCAGAAUACACUCAGUGAAUUACCGUGGAAUCUCAGAGGAGAAGCAUAAAUAGUACUGUAGAGUCAAGCUGAAAUUGACGUUCACCGAUUGACUUGCUCACAGCUGACAAGAAAGUACAAAGCUGCACAAGCAUAUUAUUUUAACUGUGAAUUUUUAAUAGUAUUGAUAUUUAGUUCUGUUUUAAUGUUUGUAUAUUUGUAUAUCUUAAAUUGUAUUGAAAUUAUUUUUAAUGUAAGCUGCUUUGAGUCUCCUUUGUGGACAGAAAAAGCAGGGUAUAAAGGAGGAGAAGGAGAGCAGCAGCAACAACAAUAACAGUGUGAGAAACAUCUAUCAGGGAAAGUUAAACACAAAAAAAAGAAAUGGAAUGAAUAAACUGCAAACUGCAAUACUUGAGGAGAACAACUUUAUUGAUCAGAACUGGGAUAUUUUGAGUCAGAAAUGAAAAUUUAAGAAGAAAUAUCAUUCAGGAGUUAGUGAAGUAAUCAAUUUAACUUAACUGUAUUCUCCAUUUUACAUCAUUUGCAAAAUCAUGAAAUCCAUGGGGUCACUAUACGUUGACAUGACAGGUGACUUCAAGGCAUAUAAACACUCAUACAUACAGGAAGGAUGUCUUCACUCAGUGUGGUGGUGGGGAAAUAUCCAUAUUUCACACCUUUGCUCAUUCUCUGUUGUUUAGUGACAAUGCGAUGAGUAUUAGGAAGAGAAUGUGUUUUGUACCACAGGUCAGGCAAAUCUAUAGUUUUCUUAAAACAAGAGAAAGCAACUAUAUGUUUCCUUACAAGAAAAAUGAUUAUUUACUUUUAAAGAAACAGUAAUUGCUAGUAAUACCUAGUUAUGCAGGAAUUGGGAUAUUAAAUGUACUCACAACUUGCAGGCGUGUGGCAUGGGCCCUGGAUCUGGCAUGCUUAUCCCCGCCCCCCAAACUUUAAAAAAUAACUGAUCUCUGUAAAUUCAACUCCUCUCUAAAUGUAUGUAUAUGUUUGAAAAAUUGUGGAAGUCAACCGAAAAGAAAUAUUUGAUCCUAUUAAAAAUAUGACAUGCAA